UAUUACAUCCUUCACAUUACCCUCCGCCUC
rnacentral:piRNA from 1 species